rnacentral:rRNA from 1 species
AAUCAACGCUGGCGGCGUGCCUAACACAUGCAAGUCGAACGAGAAAGUGGAGCAAUCCAUGAGUACAGUGGCGACCGGGUGAGUAACACGUGACUACCUACCCUCGAGUGGGGAAUAACUCCGGGAAACCGGAGCUAAUACCGCAUAACAUCGCAAGAUCAAAGCAGCAAUGCGCUUGAGGAGGGGGUCGCGGCUGAUUA